UACGGGGGGAGCAAGCGUUGUUCGGAUUUACUGGGCGUAAAGGGCGCGUAGGCGGCCACCGCAAGUCGACUGUGAAAUCUCCGGGCUUAACCCGGAAAGGUCAGCCGAUACUGCGGGGCUAGAGUGCAGAAGGGGCAACUGGGAAUUCUCGGUGUAGCGGUGAAAUGCGUAGAUAUCGAGAGGAACACCUGCGGCGAAGGCGGGUUGCUGGGCUGACACUGACGCUGAGGCGCGAAAGCUAGGGGAGCAAACAGG
rnacentral:rRNA from 1 species